UUUCAAACCUUUAACAUAUUAACUGAUCGCUGUCUAAUGAAUGACUUCAUAUCUCAAGAAUAUGUGAGUGGGGUCGCGAAAACUUAUUUAAAGCAAUCGUCUGUAAAUCGCUUGUCUAGUCAAAACUCCAAGUCGUGAAGUUGAAAUCAUAAUCGAAAAGCAAAUUAUUUAAAAUAUAAAAAUGGUGAAAUUGAAAGCCGUCAUUAAAAUAGCUUUGACGUUUGUUGUUGCCGUUAUGUUCUUUAGCGCAAGUGCUUAUGCCAUAAAUCGGAAGGCAUUGCUCACGGAUGGAAAAUGAAACCGAAGUGAUUAUAAAUUUCCAAUAUCCCAUGAUAGGCAACCACUGCAAUAAACUAAGGUUAUGAAGAACACACAUAUACAUAAAUAUAUACUAUAUACAUGACACACAUGCUUACACAUACCGACAUGCUUUUUGCUUAUUUAGAUUUACUUGAUUUGACACUGAGUGUUUGAAUUGUAUAAAAAUUUGUAAUUUAAUUUGUAAUAAUACUUGAGCGGGUAUUGAAAAGAUCACAUUAAAGUAUAUAGAUAAAAAUAUAUACAUAUUAUAUUUACAUUCUAUGCCAAA